rfam:Corchorus olitorius cultivar O-4 contig18317, whole genome shotgun sequence.
GGACAUUUAGUCUAGUGGUAGGAUGUUGAACUAUUAAUUUCAAUAACUUGGGUUCGAUCUCUGAAAAGCUCA